rnacentral:rRNA from 1 species
CAAGUCGAGCGAGAAUCGUAGCAAUACGAGGACAGCGGCGAAAGGGAGAGGAAUACGUAGAUAUCUGCCCCUGAGACCGGGAUAGCGUCGGGAAACUGGCAGUAAUACCGGAUAACGUCUUUGGACCAAAGGUGUGAUUCCGCUCGGGGAUGAGUCUACGCCCUAUUAGCUAGUUGGUGGGGUAAUGGCCUACCAAGGCGAUGAUGGGUAGCGGGUGUGAGAGCAUGAUCCGCCUCACUGGGACUGAGAACUGCCCAGACACCUACGGGUGGCUGCAGUCGAGAAUCUUUGUCAAUGGACGAAAGUCUGAACAAGCGACGCCGCGUGCGGGAUGAAGGCCUUCGGGUUGUAAACCGCUGUCGUAGGGGAACAAAUGUAGAGGGGUUCUCCCCUUUAUUUGAGUGAUCCUAGGAGGAAGGAGAGGCUAAGCUCGUGCCAGCAGCCGCGGUAAGACGAGCUCUCCAAACGUUAUUCGGAAUCACUGGGCUUAAAGAGUUCGUAGGCGGCUCAGCAGGUCAGGUGUGAAAUCCCACAGCUCAACUGUGGAACUGCGCUUGAAACCGCUGGGCUUGAGGGAGACAGAGGUAAGCGGAACAGAUGGUGGAGCGGUGAAAUGCGUUGAUAUCAUCUGGAACACCGGUGGCGAAAGCGGCUUACUGGGUCUCUUCUGACGCUGAGGAACGAAAGCUAGGGUAGCAAACGGGAUUAGAUACCCCGGUAGUCCUAGCUGUAAACGAUGAGCACUAGUCUGUGGGGACCCUCACAUCCUCUCGGACGUAGCGAAAGUGUUAAGUGCUCCGCCUGGGGAGUAUGGUCGCAAGGCUGAAACUCAAAGGAAUUGACGG